rnacentral:rRNA from 1 species
ACUCCUACGGGAGGCAGCAGUGGGGAAUAUUGCACAAUGGGCGAAAGCCUGAUGCAGCAACGCCGCGUGAGCGAUGAAGGCCUUCGGGUCGUAAAGCUCUGUCCUCAAGGAAGAUAAUGACGGUACUUGAGGAGGAAGCCCCGGCUAACUACGUGCCAGCAGCCGCGGUAAUACA